AUUGAACGCUGGCAGCAGGCCUAACACAUGCAAGUCGAGCGGAUGAGUGGAGCUUGCUCCAUGAUUCAGCGGCGGACGGGUGAGUAAUGCCUAGGAAUCUGCCUGGUAGUGGGGGACAACGUUUCGAAAGGAACGCUAAUACCGCAUACGUCCUACGGGAGAAAGCAGGGGACCUUCGGGCCUUGCGCUAUCAGAUGAGCCUAGGUCGGAUUAGCUAGUAGGUGAGGUAAUGGCUCACCUAGGCGACGAUCCGUAACUGGUCUGAGAGGAUGAUCAGUCACACUGGAACUGAGACACGGUCCAGACUCCUACGGGAGGCAGCAGUGGGGAAUAUUGGACAAUGGGCGAAAGCCUGAUCCAGCCAUGCCGCGUGUGUGAAGAAGGUCUUCGGAUUGUAAAGCACUUUAAGUUGGGAGGAAGGGCAGUAAGUUAAUACCUUGCUGUUUUGACGUUACCAACAGAAUAAGCACCGGCUAACUUCGUG
rnacentral:rRNA from 1 species